UAAAGGGUUAAAAUGUAUGACAGUAUUAUAAUAUGAUAUAACUGAUAUUAGAUUGAUAACUUAUAAUAUACUUAGUGUAGGAACUUACACGUGUACCUGAUUUUUACUGUGUAGGAACUUACAUAUGUACCUAAUUUUAUCGUGUAGGAACUAACAUGUGUAUCUUGUUUACCUGCCAGGUCUAGUGUAGGAACUUACAUUCGCCCAUUUAUGAAGAUUGUUUAAAUCAUUUUAUGACUCUAAAUAUUGCUAUGGCUAUUUUAUUAAGAACAAAUAUGAAUGAAUAUACAUCAGUUAUGCCAGAAAUGUCUUACAUAAUUUUGUUAAAAACUUUGAAAUAAUUUAUGGCAAACAUUUAAUAUCCCACAAUGUACACAAUCUACUUCAUAUUGCUGAUGAUUAUGAAAAAUUUGCUCCUUUGGACAAUAUAAUCGCAUUUUCAUUUGAGAAUUUCAUGAAAAAUAUAAAAAAAAAGUUGAGAAAACUACCCCUUCAACAGGUUAUAAAAUGAUUCAAUGAAGAAUUUAAUCAGGCUGAAGAGUAUAAAAUAGGUCAAAAAAUUAUUUCUUCAAAGUAAUCUUAUUUUAAAAAAGAGCAUUAAAAUGGGCUAAUUUUAACAAAUUUGAUUGGACCUCAAUAUAGUAUAGUGCAUUUAAAAAAUAUUUUUAUAAAAACAACAAAAGCUGCUGACUGUUAUGUCUUAAUUAUUAGCAAUGAUGUUGUUAAAGUAAUAAAUAUUGCAUAUUUAUAUACAAUGUGUAUUAUCGGCAACAAAUGUUCAUCAAAAAAACCAUAUUACGAACAACCAAUCAAUUUAGAAAUUUUUAAUAUAAUAUAUGAAGUAGACAAAUUAUCAGAACAUACCUAUAUGAAUUAAUCAUUUUGAAGAACUUCAAAAAAAAAUUAUGCUAGUAGAUACAUUGGACAAAAAAAAUAGCUACCUAUACGUAUGUAUUAUACAUACAAAUCAUUGUUAAACAUAACUUUAAUAAUAAUUUAUUAUAAUUCUUUUUCUUCUGUAGAUCAAACAAACAUGUGGUCAAUUGUUUGUUUUAUUGAAGAAAAUACUGUUGUAUGUGUCCCAAACUUUUGAAUUUUUUGGCAGCAAGAUUAUUAUCUACUAAUUUUUAUAUUAAGUAAUCUAACCAAAGCGUACAAAAAAUUUAAAAAAGUUGAGGAUACUUCUGAGAUAUCCACAUUUGAAAAUGACAUUAGCGAAGAAUAUUCUAAAUCGUCAAGAUCUGUUAAAAAUUAUUCCAAAUGUAUACUGUUCAUAAAAAAAAAAAAAUGAUGAAGGUAAAUGUUAAUAGAAUUCCAUCAGUUCUGAGUAGUCCGCCUAAACAGAUUCCUAAAGCUACAGGUAUUAAUAACGAAAAAAAUCUAAAAAUUAUGGUCAGGAACAAGUCACAAGUCACUAAUGAACUUAACACAGGCAA